rnacentral:rRNA from 1 species
AACGAACGUUGGCGGCGUGGAUUAGGCAUGCAAGUCGUACGAGUUUCCUCUGGGUAACUGGAUGAAAAAAGUGGCGAAAGGGGCAGUAAGGCAUGGAUAAUCUACCCUGAUGACCGGGAUAGCUGUCCCAACGGGCAGGUAAUACCGGAUUAGCUGGUGGGGCCGCAUGGUUCUGCCAGGAUAGGCGCAAGCCGUGUCGGGAGGAAUCCAUGGGCUAUUAGCUAGUUGGUGGGGUAAAGGCUCACCAAGGCGAAGAUGUCUAGCGGGUGUGAGAGCACGAAGAGCGGCAUUGGCACUGAGAGACUGGCAAGAGUCCUACGGGAGGCUGCAGUGGAGGAAGUUCGGCAAAGGGAGAAAGCCUGACUGAGGAACGCCGCGUGAGCGAUGAAGGCCAUUAGGUUGGAAAGAUCUGUCGAGGGGAAACAAGCCGCAAGGUUGAGUGAUCCCUGGAGGAAGCACGGGCUAAGUUCGUG